AGUGAACGCUGGCGGUAGGCCUAACACAUGCAAGUCGAACGGUAGCACAGAGGAGCUUGCUCCUUGGGUGACGAGUGGCGGACGGGUGAGGAAUGCAUCGGAAUCUACUCUUUCGUGGGGGAUAACGUAGGGAAACUUACGCUAAUACCGCAUACGACCUACGGGUGAAAGCAGGGGACCUUCUAGGCCUUGCGCGAUUGAAUGAGCCGAUGUCCGAUUAGCUGGUUGGCGGGGUAAUGGCCCACCAAGGCGACGAUCGGUAGCUGGUCUGAGAGGAUGAUCAGCCACACUGGAACUGAGACACGGUCCAGACUCCUACGGGAGGCAGCAGUGGGGAAUAUUGGACAAUGGGCGCAAGCCUGAUCCAGCCAUACCGCGUGGGUGAAGAAGGCCUUCGGGUUGUAAAGCCCUUUUGUUGGGAAAGAAAAGCAGCCGGCUAAUACCCGGUUGUUCUGACGGUACCCAAAGAAUAAGCACCGGCUAUCUUCGUGCCAGCCGCCGCCGUAA
rnacentral:rRNA from 1 species